AGAUCGCACCACUGCACUCUAGCCUGGGCAACAGAGAGAGGCUCUGUCUCAAAAAAUAAAUAAAUAAAAGGUGGGGGUGCUCUUGUAACUCGGGUUUGGGCCCAUUUAGUCCUCAUGACAGUAUCUAUACUUAUUCCUGCAUCCCCAUGCCUAGCUGCCUUUUUCUCACCUUUCUUUCUGGGGCUACCACACCUUUAUCAGAUGAGAUCCUCCAACCUCUUUUUACCCUCAGUAUCUCCAAAAGUGCCACCUGGGUUGAAAAUGAGAAGCAAAAGCAUCUACCCUUCCCCCUCUUGCACCAAGGGUGUCCCUUAUUAGAUAGGAAUUUACAUAAUUGGUAAAAAUAAGAUAUCAUGGGCUGGCCACAGUGGCUCACACCUGUAAUGCCAGCAUUUUGAGAGGCUGAGGCAGGAGGAAUUCUUGAGCCCGGGAGUUUGAGACCAGGCUGGGCAAUAUAGUGAGACCUUGUCUCUACAAAAAAUUUUAAAAUUAACUGAGAGUGGUGGCAGGCACCUGUAGUCCCAGCUACUCAGGAGGCUGAGGCAAGAGGAUUGCUUGAACUUGGGAGGAGGAGGCUGCAGUAAGCCAAGAUCACACCACUGCCCUCCAGCCUGGGUGACAGAGCCAGACUGUGUCUCCAAAACAAAAGACAAAGUGCGUACAAGGCUCAGCUCUUAACUAUGACUGCUAUGAAUCAAGGAAAGACCCCUUCCUUGAGGGUGUGCUGGGAGAGGGGGAUAGAUGAGAGCAUACCAAGAGAAUCUGCCUUUUUUGCGCAAUUUCCCCUUGACUCAGCGGUCACACUUCCCUUCCCCAGCCCACACUUGUCCUCACCAGUGCCUGUAUUUAGAAAUGCAAGCCGGUGUUGUCAUAGAAAAACAGAAACCAGAUGGUUGCUAUGGAGAUUUGUUUAAAUACACCUAGAACAUGGCCCAGACUCUGGCAGUGGUUGACGGCACUUUGUUGGCUAUCGAUGGCUUUUUGUUUUAAAGGCUUUUAUCUUGAGAACAUGAUGUCUGGAGUUAAAGGUAUUGGCAUAUUCCACACAUCUGUACUAUUCUUGAGUGUGAUCGCUUAAGGUGUCAAAUUAAGAACCAGGCAGAUCCCCACCACCUACACUAUAAAGGACCCUAAAGUAAAUUGGUUGAAGAAAUUAGAUCCCAAAGAUUCUUGGUGAAUUUUGAAGUCUUCAUCAGUAUAUCCAUAUUAAAAGGAGCUGACAGGAAGCCAAAGUAAUUAUGCGCUGACAGGACAACUGGAUCAGUUUCAUUAAGAAGGCUAACUUGAAGAUAAAUCUUUUUACUCCAGCUCUUUAGAGGAUCUGAAGUGACCUUGAUGGACAGUGGAAGAAAUCACAACAUGGAAUUCCUUGAAUAAAAAUGUAUUGACUUUAAA